rnacentral:rRNA from 1 species
UAAAGAAUUUCGGUAUGGGAUGGGGAUGCGUUCCAUUAGUUAGUUGGCGGGGUAACGGCCCACCAAGACAACGAUGGAUAGGGGUUCUGAGAGGAAGGUCCCCCACAUUGGAACUGAGACACGGUCCAAACUCCUACGGGAGGCAGCAGUGAGGAAUAUUGGUCAAUGGACGAGAGUCUGAACCAGCCAAGUAGCGUGAAGGAUGACUGCCCUAUGGGUUGUAAACUUCUUUUAUAUGGGAAUAAAACGUUCCACGUGUGGAAUUUUGUAUGUACCAUAUGAAUAAGGAUCGGCUAACUCCGUGCCAGCAGCCGCGGUAAUACGGAGGAUCCGAGCGUUAUCCGGAUUUAUUGGGUUUAAAGGGAGCGUAGGUGGAUUGUUAAGUCAGUUGUGAAAGUUUGCGGCUCAACCGUAAAAUUGCAGUUGAAGCUGGCAGUCUUGAGUACAGUAGAGGUGGGCGGAAUUCGUGGUGUAGCGGUGAAAUGCUUAGAUAUCACGAAGAACUCCGAUUGCGAAGGCAGCUCACUGGACUGCAACUGACACUGAGGCUCGAAAGUGUGGGUAUCAAACAGGAUUAGAUACCCUGGUAGUCCACACAGUAAACGAUGAAUACUCGCUGUUUGCGAUAUACAGCAAGCGGC